CAACUUCUAACGGUGGAUCUCUUGGCUCGUGCAUCGAUGAAGAACGUUGCCAGUUGCGAUAAGUAGUGUGAAUUGCAGAAUGAAGUGAAUCAUCGAAUCUUUGAACGCAAAUUGCACUUGCUGGAUAUCCGGCAAGUAUGUCUGUCUGAGCGUCG
rnacentral:rRNA from 9 species